rnacentral:rRNA from 1 species
UACGAAGGGAGCUAGCGUUGUUCGGAAUCACUGGGCGUAAAGCGCACGUAGGCGGAUUUGUCAGUCAGGGGUGAAAUCCCGGGGGCUCAACCUCGGGACUGCCUUUGAUACAGCAAGUCUUGAGUUCGAGAGAGGUGGGUGGAAUUCCUAGUGUAGAGGUGAAAUUCGUAGAUAUUAGGAAGAACACCGGUGGCGAAGGCGGCAUCCUGGACCAACACUGACGCUGAGUGAGCGAAAGCGUGGGGAGCGAACAGG